UACGUAGGGGGCGAGCGUUGUCCGGAGUACUGGGCGUAAAGCGUGCGCAGGCGGUGAUGUAAGACAGUUGUGAAAUCCCCGGGCUCAACCUGGGAACUGCAUCUGUGACUGCAUCGCUGGAGUGCGGCAGAGGGGGGAUGGAAUUCCGCGUGUAGCAGUGAAAUGCGUAGAUAUGCGGAGGAACACCGAUGGCGAAGGCAAUCCCCUGGGCCUGCACUGACGCUCAUGCACGAAAGCGUGGGGAGCAAACAGG
rnacentral:rRNA from 1 species